rnacentral:misc_RNA from 1 species
GUUGAAGAACGUAGCGAAAUGCGAUACUUGGUGUGAAUUGCAGAAUCCCGUGAACCAUCGAGUCUUUGAACGCAAGUUGCGCCCGAAGCCACUAGGCCGAGGGCACGCCUGCCUGGGCGUCACACGCCGUUGACCCCCCAUCUACUCCUUCGGGAUUGCGGGGGGGCGGAUGAUGGCCUCCCGUGCGCCUAGCCGCGCGGUUGGCAUAAAUACCAAGUCCUCGGCGACGCACGCCACGACAAUCGGUGGUUGCGAAACCUCGGUUGCCCGUCGUGUGCGUUCGUCGCGCAUCGAGGGCUCGAAAAAAUGCUCGGCUCCGGCUGGGCUUUCAACGCGACCCCAGGUCAGGCGGGGUUACCCGCUGAAUUUAAGCAUAUCAAUAAGCGGAGGA